CAGCAAGCUGAUCACGGUCGGAGGAAACCUACAACUGUACCGACCCCCGAGCUCGGCGGCGGCGGCGGCGGCGGCCGAGCGACCAGUGGAGGUCGGCAUUGGUCGCUGGCGUCUCCUGGCAAUACAUAUGGCAUCACCAUCUGAUAUGCCGAAAGAGCCUCCUGCUGCGACAAUUCAGGUUCAGGUGCAAUGGUGCGGCACCGAUUAUCCUGUGGGUGUAAAAGCAGAUGCGGAUAUAGGGGAAUUGAAGCGAAAAGCAUGUGAGGUGACGGGGCUCCCUUCAAAAAGGCAAAAACACAUGAACCCUAAGAACAAGGAGUACAAUGAUGACCAUCCCAUUGGCUUGCUCCAACCACCUCACAUGACAGAUCUCAUCAGUUUGAAUAACAAGGUUGCACACGACAUAUACAAGGAUCAUUUCUUUGGGGAGAAACCGACAUGCAGCGUGAAGGCUACAAAGGACCGCAUUGUAGAUUUCGAUGGGUCAAGAACAAAGCUGUACAAAGGAAAAUAUCAAGUAGGGAGCAUGGAGAUUCAGUGCCUUAUCAAGUUCUAGUGUUCUACCAGCCAGAAGACAGAGCUGACCUUCUUCGUUCGAUCGAACUGAUGCGAACUUGGAAGCAUCCAAAUUUGUUGGUGAUGGAAACUCUGUACAAGGAGACAGGUAACCAAGUUCAGCGUCUUGUGCUAUCACCAGACACAGUCAAUGGCUCGUUGCAAGGAUACAUCAACUCAAGGAAGGAAAAGGGAGAAGAUGUGAUUUCAAAAGCCAACGGCUCCUUUACUGACUUCUUUCUAAAGAUGAUACUAGAUCUUUGUGCUGUGUUGGACCAAAUGGUGAAGCGCAGAGUAUGCCCAAGAAAACUUGGUAUGCAAAACUUAUAUCUCAAGAGCGUGGAGAAUGCUGAACCAGAACUGAAAAUACUUUUCGACAAGGGUAAUCUAUUUUCUGCGCAUUCUUCAUUUUAUCGGUGAAGCAUAUGAUUUUUUUAUGGAAAUCAGAUGAAGACCAUAUUUUAUUGGAUUAAAGUUUUAGCUUCUUUUAGAUGAUUUGUUGUAGUGACUGCAGAAAAAUAUUGCCCAAACUCUGACUCAAUGUAGUUGAAAGGGGAAUCCUACUGCAUAUAUAGAGAGAAUCCUACUGCAUAUAAUUAAACACUGCAGACCAAAGUACUAUUAUGCAAAUAUUUUUACUUGACUUGUGAGGGUUUAAAGACAGACAAGAAUCUGCAAAUCAAUUGCUAUCUGAUUUCAAAUGAAUGAUGGAACAUAAUUACAUUUAUAUAUGUAACUUCGCUCAAAUAGGUCCACUUUCCAGCUACAAAUGACAAAAAUGUAAGUAAACUACAAACUUAGGAUUGAAACAAUGUGGCUUAUUGAAAACAACUCUGCUUUCCUGCUUACAGGCUGUUCCUGCUCACAACAUGCAAUUAGACUUAAUUCUACACCUAUUCCUUUGCCAAUCAACAAAUAGUAUGACUUGACUGCCAAGUUCACAAUUACAUCAUGAAGAGAGGUAGUAUGUAUCAUAAGAACACAAAAAAAUAAUGUGGGGAACUUUAUCAUAUCCUCCAAAUGUCAAUAAAAAAGUGAGUAAAAGUCAACUCAUGAGCAGGUAAUGGGGAUUAGGGAGUAGAAUUGAAAAAACAUGGAAGUAUAGGCAUAGUCCGAUCAUAGUUUUCAGAUUUGAUCUACAUGAGUUAUUUAUUGUGAUGAAGUGCAUUACUGUCAGUGCCGUAAAGUGAUUGCAUACAUCUAUAGGUUUAUUAAUGGAACUCUAGUGCAUGGGUUUCACAAGGCUCUCACCCUUGAUCAUUCCUCUCUCUCCCUGUAACCUCCCCAUCUUCCGCCGGUGUCAACUCCACCCAGUCAAGAUGCUGCCCUUCCCUGACCUGGGCUACUCGCCUACUCCUCUUUUUACCCUACUCACCAUGUUCAUAUAGAUUUGUAGGCUUAUAGAUGCUGUAUUAUCAGUCACAAUAUACUACUAGCAAUACAACACUAGAGCUGCCAAGCAUAGCUCAUACACAUUUUGUUCACCUGCUGACCACCUUAUGUACUGUGGUCUGCAGUGUUUAAUUAAAUGUGUAUAAUACACAUGCUGUAUUAUCAGUCACAAUAUACUACUAGCAAUACAACACUAGAGCUGCCAAGCAUAGCUCAUACACAUUUUGUCCCUUGACCAUCAAGGUAAAUAUCUCGAUGUCUUGUAAUGAUUUUAUAUUGUUUCAUGAAGAAGCAAUAUGGUAACAGGAAUUAUUUGAUGGCAGGCAUUCUUGAAGAGUAAAGACGAAAUACUGGCUGCUCUGGAGAAAUGGUGCCCCAACGUUUGGUUUCUCUUGUACAAUGCCGUUGGUUUAGUCUGAUGAAGUGCCGACCAAAGAUGGUUAUGAUAUUGCCAUGUGGUCUCAUUUCAAGUAGGAUAGUUUGACAUGGAUGGGUUUACCUUGUCUGACAUAUCAUGCAUGUUUGAUUGAUCCCUCUGAAGCAUGGUUUGAACUGUUACCACUUGACUAGUAGUAAUCUUCAGUCUGAGCCUGCAAAGGAAUCUGCUAAAAAAGGCUGUGUUGAUGAUGUUGUUUAGAAGGGAGCAGAAGUUGGUUAAUGAGAUUUCUGUGAAUUGUUUGUUGUAUUUGCUGAAUUAAUAUCUUGGUGAUUCGAUGCUCCGAUAAUUCGCAAGAGCGCUCGUCCGCGCCUGCUCACGGAAUCGGUUGGCGUCCAUCGGGGUCGAGAGAAUUAGCGCGUGUGGUAUUCUGCCAUAGUGGUCUACGGAUAUUUUAAUGCGAGGGGAGAUGGGAGAGGGAUGACGUUUGUAUCUAGCGGAGCGACGGUCGUUAGAGGAUAGCGGCAACGUUAAGAUACGUGGGCGUUUAUCUCGCUUUGCCUGCGCAACCGCUGCUGCAUGGUUUGGUUGCUGUGUGUCCUCUAUGCGGCGCCGAUACCCAACUUGUAGAAACAAAUUCAGGAGAAAAGCAGAGUUUCAUCAGUAGUUGGGUGUGAGCUGACGGAUUAUGAAGUAACUUAAGGAGACUAACCUCGGAGGGGAGCUGAUGGUGAUGCAAGUCGCCGGGUCGGCCAUUCAUAUGUAGGCAGAUAGCUUUUGUUUGUGGCUGAAAGACGUGACAUGAACUGAGUGUACACAGCUUCAGCUUUGCUUUCGAGUUGCGUGAACAUAUGUAGCAGCGGUUCAUUGUGCCGAGCUUCCGUUUUGCUGGCCAAAGUGGUUGCUGGUGGUAUGUGAUCUGUAGCAAAGUUGAGCAUGCCUUCGCGAAUCUUUGAGCAGACCUCUGCGGCAAUGAACUGACGAGCAACAUUUUCGACAGCAGCCCCUGAGUAGAUGGAGCCCUCGAGCAGUGUUGGGUGGAUGC